CCAGUGAUCAUGAAUCAUAAAUUCACAUAUUUAUGUUAACUGGACUACACGCUCUUUUGCUACGGCAAUUAAACUCUAAGUUUUAUUGUUAUAAAAUUCAACAACGACAUAUUUACAUUUGGAAAUAUCCUAGAAAUCUUUGAUUUCUUCGUACCUAAUGUUGUGAAGUUGUGGUGGUCUAUUAAAAGUAAAAGAGCUAUUGCAG
rnacentral:ncRNA from 1 species